AGUGAACGCUGGCGGUAGGCCUAACACAUGCAAGUCGAACGGCAGCACAGUAAGAGCUUGCUCUUACGGGUGGCGAGUGGCGGACGGGUGAGGGAUACAUCUGAAUCUACUUUUUCGUGGGGGAUAACGUAGGGAAACUUACGCUAAUACCGCAUACUACCUACGGGUGAAAGCAGGGGAUCUUCGGACCUUGCGCGAUUGAAUGAGCCGAUGUCGGAUUAGCUAGUUGGCGGGGUAAAGGCACACCAAGGCAACGAUCCGUAGCUGGUCUGAGAGGAGGAUAAGCCACACUGGAAUUGAGAUACGGUCCAGACUCCUACGGGAGGCAGCAGUGGGGAAUAUUGGACAAUGGGCGCAAGGAUGAUCCAGACAUACCGAGUGGGUGAAGAAGGCCUUCGGGUUGUAAAUCCCUUUUGCUUGGAAAGAAAAGCAGCAUGUUAAUACCCCGAUGUUCUGACGGUACCCAAAGAAUAAGCACCGGCUAACUUCGUG
rnacentral:rRNA from 1 species